GGGGGCAUGUGCACGCUCUGUUCACACAUCCACUCACACCUGUGCACCCACUGUAGUUCCAUGGUCUGGGGGACGUGCCGUCUCCCUCCCGUGGUUCUAUGUCUUUACACAUACGCCGUAGCGAAGUCUUAUGGAAUGCACUCUGCGUUUAACGCGAUAUAAUACAACUUUCAGCAACGGAUCUCUUGGCUCUCGCAUCGAUGAAGAACGCAGCGAAAUGCGAUAAGUAAUGUGAAUUGCAGAAUUCAGUGAAUCAUCGAAUCUUUGAACGCACCUUGCGCCCCUUGGCCAUUCCGAGGGGCAUGCCUGUUUGAGUAUCAUGAACACCUCAACUCUCAUGGCUUGCCCGUGAUGAGCUUGGACUUUGGGGGUUUUGCUGGCCCUACGGUUGGCUCCUCUCAAAUGAAUCAGCUUGCCAGUGUUUUGGCGGCGUCAUGGGUGUGAUAACUAUCUACGCUCGUGAUCGUCUGCUGAGU
rnacentral:rRNA from 1 species